CCUACGUGUGGCUGCAGUGAGGAAUAUUGGUCAAUGGGCGGAAGCCUGAACCAGCCAAGUAGCGUGCAGGAUGACUGCCCUACGGGUUGUAAACUUCUUUUAUACGGGAAUAACGCGCCGUACGUGUACCUCUUUGCAUGUACUAUAUGAAUAAGGAUCGGCUAAUUCCGUGCCAGCAGCCGCGGUAAUACGGAGGGUCCGAGCGUUAUCCGGAUUUAUUGGGUUUAAAGGGAGCGUAGAUGGGUUGUUAAGAGAGGUGUGAAAUGUUGGGGCUCAACCGGAGCAUUGCAGUGGAGACUGGCGUGCUUGAGUACGUGGGAGGUAGGCGGAAUUCGUGGUGUAGCGGUGAAAUGCUUAGAUAUGACGAAGAACCCCGAUUGCGAAGGCAGCUUGCUAAAGUGGCACUGACGUUGAUGCUCGAAAGCGUGGGUAUCGAACAGGAUUAGAUACCCGAGUAGUC
rnacentral:rRNA from 1 species